AACGCACCUUGCGCUCCUUGGUAUUCCGAGGAGCAUGUCUGUUUGAGUGUCAUGAACUCUUCAACCCUCCAUUUCCUCGUUUGAAAUGUUUUGAGGUGAUUGGAUUUUGAGUACUUGCUCUUUUAUCAAAAUUAGCUUACUCGUAAUAUAUUAGCACAAUUCAACUUCGAACUCGGAUUGACUCGGCGUAAUAGACUAUUCGCUGAGGACAUUGAGAAUUAAUUUUCUCUAAUGGCCGACUUUAGACGAUUUGAAUAGCUUCAAAUACUAUAAACCUUUUUUAAGAUUAGACCUCAAAUCAGGCAGGAUUACCCGCUGAACUUAA
rnacentral:misc_RNA from 1 species